UACGGGGGGGGGGCAAGCGUUGUUCGGAAUUACUGGGCGUAAAGGGCUCGUAGGCGGCCAACUAAGUCAGACGUGAAAUCCCCAGGCUCAACCUGGGAACUGCGUCUGAUACUGGAUGGCUUGAAUCCGGGAGAGGGAUGCAGAAUUCCAGGUGUAGCGGUGAAAUGCGCAGAUAUCAGGAGGAACACCGGUGGCGAAGGCGGUUCUCUGGGCAUGAUCUGACGCUGAGGAGCGAAAGUGUGGGGAGCGAACAGG
rnacentral:rRNA from 1 species